rnacentral:rRNA from 1 species
AGAGUUUGAUCAUGGCUCAGGGUGAACGCNNNNGGUGCGCCUAACACAUGCAAGUCGAGCGGUAGAAUUGAAUAGCUUGCUAUUUAAUUUGAGAGCGGCGAACGGGUGAGUAACAUGUUGAUAUCUGCCCCCAAGUCAGGGAUAGCCAUUGGAAACGAUGAUUAAUACCGGAUAGUCUCUACAGAGUAAAAAUUUAUUGCUUGGGGAGGAGUCUACAUUCUAUCAGAUAGUUGGUGAGGUAAAAGCUCACCAAGUCUAUGACGGAUAGCUGGUCUGAGAGGAUGAUCAGCCACAAUGAAACUGAGACACGGUUCAUACUCCUACGGGAGGCAGCAGUGAGGAAUCUUCCACAAUGGACGAAAGUCUGAUGGAGCGACACCGCGUGAAGGAUGAAGGCCUAACGGUUGUAAACUUCUUUUCUGAAGGAGCAUAAUGAGAGUACUUCAGGAAUAAGGGACGGCUAAUUACGUGCCAGCAGCCGCGGUAAUACGUAAGUCCCGAGUGUUACCCGGAAUCAUUGGGUGUAAAGGGUUCGUAGGCGGAUAAUUAAGUUGGGUAUUAAAGACCGAGGCUCAACCUCGUGUUUGUGCCCAAAACUGGUUAUCUAGAAUUAGGGAGAGGUAAGUGGAAUUCUGUGUGUAGGGGUGCAAUCCGUAGAUACACAGAGGAACACCAAAAGCGAAGGCAACUUACUGGAACUAUAUUGACGCUGAUGAACGAAAGCGUGGGUAGCGAAAAGGAUUAGAUACCCUUGUAGUCCACGCCCUAAACGAUGAUAACUAAGUGUUGGGACUAGAUCUCAGUGCUGAAGCUAACGCAUUAAGUUAUCCNCCUGANGAGUACGGUCGCAAGAUUAAAACUC